CCGAGCCGAGCGUGGAAGCGGGACGCGCAGGGAGCGUGACGGCGGCUGGACGGAGGCAGGCGUGCGGGAGGGGAUGGAGCCCCUUGCUGCCAGCAGUGUCGUCACGCGCCCGGUGACUCCGCUGGCAGAGCGAGGCAAGCAGAGGACUGAGGAUCAUUAGGCUUCCAGAAGGAGACUGGAGCGAUAUUAGCCGCCUAGGAGUGAAGGGAGUGGCCGGGAUCAAGGGAGUCAUUCAGCCGGGCUGCCUGCGACGUUCACAGCUUCCUUCUAAGUUAGAGAAACGAUUCGGAGGCUGCCGACUCGAGGUGAAAAUCUUGCCACCUGUUAAAAUGAAGGAGCAGAGUUGUGAAGUUAUGAAUAAUAGGAGUUCGCCUUCCACCCACUGGCCAGACGUGGGAGAGAAAGAGGACCCAGAGGUGAGGCCAUGUGAGAAUCACAGGAUUGGAGACACACAAAAUGCAGCCAG
rnacentral:lncRNA from 1 species